GCAAGCAUCUGCGCACUCUGAUCACGUUACACUGAUGCGGAAGCGAAACCAACCGCGCUGAACAUUUCUUGCAGGGGUUCGGUUUAAGGUGGAUCUGAGGCGGAGAUGACGGAGAAAGGCGACUCCCCGGUGGCUCGGACGGUUCUGCAGCAGUGCCUGCAGGCCAGGCUGCAGGUGAGACCAGCGGAGGGGCAGUCUGACGCUCAGUUCGUCCAGAUCCACAGAGGAAUGGUGAUCUACAUCUGCUUCUUUAGAGGCGCCACAGACGAUGUUCUGCCUAAGAUGGUAUCCACGCUGUUAAACCUUCGACUUUGUGAGUCCACCUCUGGAAAAAUGGUUUCUGUGUCAGAGCUUCCCGGUAGCCUGCUGAUUGUACCUCAGGCCACGCUGGGAGGGAGAAACAAAGGCAGGGCCAUGCAGUACCACAACAACAUCAACAAGGAGGAAGGGCUGAGGCUCUACAGCAAGUUUGUCUCUCUGUGUGAGAAGGAACUCGUGGCUGCAGCUGCUGCCUCGGCCACGAGCGGAGCCGAGGUGACGGUUAAACAUGGAACAUAUGGAAAUAGACAAGUGCUGCAGCUGGACACCAACGGACCGUACACUCAUCUAAUGGAUUUCUGAUUCGUCCUCCAGAUGGAAAAUGAAUAGAUGCUCAUAAAUCAGCAGAUGGACUACUUUUGUAAAUGACAGCAGAGGGCGCGUCGCGGCCAUUUGGGUAGAAGAAGUAAGCAGCGCAUUGUAAGCUUGGGUUACAGAAGCGUUCAAAACCUGCACGUUCCACAGUGAAGUGAGCGGUGCGUCGAACCAAUGAGACUUCCGCUGAAUAACUUAUUUUUCAAAAUUAAAAGCUUUUAAAAUUAAAAACUAAAUUGUU